rnacentral:rRNA from 1 species
GACGAACGCUGGCGGCGUGCUUAACACAUGCAAGUCGAACGAUGAAGAAAAGAAUCGAAGCUUCGGCAGAAAUUCAUUUCGGAUUAGUGGCAGACGGGUGAGUAACGCGUGAGCAACCUACCUCUUACAAAGGGAUAGCCUCGGGAAACCGGGAUUAAUACCAUAUAACAUUGUGACGAAGCAUUUCGAUGCAAUCAAAGCUACGGCGGUAAGAGAUGGGCUCGCGUCCCAUUAACCGGAUGGUGAGGUAACGGCUCACCAUAGUGACGAUGGGUAACCGGCCUGAGAGGGUGAACGGUCACACUGGAACUGAGACACGGUCCAGACUCCUACGGGAGGCAGCAGUGGGCAAUAUUGCACAAUGGAGGGAACUCUGAUGCAGCGACGCCGCGUGAGUGAUGAAGGAAUUCGUUUCGUAAAACUCUGUUCUAUGGGAAGAAAAGGACUGUACCAUAGGAGAAAGCUCCGGCUAAAUACGUG